UGUAUUUAUUAGAUAAAAAACCAAUGCCCUUCGGGGCUUUUUGGUGAUUCAUGAUAACUUUACGGAUCGCAUAGCCUUGCGCUGGCGACGGUUCAUUCAAAUUUUCUGCCCUAUCAACUUUUCGAUGGUAAGGUAUUGGCUUACCAUGGUUUCAACGGGUAACGGGGAAUUAGGGUUCGAUUCCGGAGAGGGAGCCUGAGAAACGGCUACCACAUCCAAGGAAGGCAGCAGGCGCGCAAAUUACCCAAUCCCGACACGGGGAGGUAGUGACAAUAAAUACUGAUACAGGGCUCUUUUGGGUCUUGUAAUUGGAAUGAGUACAAUUUAAACCUCUUAACGAGGAACAAUUGGAGGGCAAGUCUGGUGCCAGCAGCCGCGGUAAUUCCAGCUCCAAUAGCGUAUAUUAAAGUUGUUGCAGUUAAAAAGCUCGUAGUUGAAGCUUGGGCCUGGCUGGCGGGUCCGCCUCACCGCGUGCACUCGUCCGGCCGGGCCUUCCUUCUGAAGAACCUCAUGCCCUUCACUGGGCGUGCUGGGGAACCAGG
rnacentral:rRNA from 1 species